CUACGGGUGGCUGCAGGUAGGGAUCUUCUGCAAUGCGCGCAAGCGUGACAGAGUGAGCCAGAGUGUUUCUCGAUAUAGAGAAACUUUUGUCAGCUGUAAAAAGGCUGAUGAAUAAGGACUGGGCAAGACUGGUGCCAGCAGCCGCGGUAAUCCCAGCAGUCCAAGUCGCAACCACAACUGUUUGGUCUAAAACAUCCGUAGCUUGCUAUGUAAGUCUCCUGUGAAAUUCCGCAUCUUAAGUGUGGAGCGGGCAGGAGAUACUGCAUGGCUAGAGACCGAAGGACGCAAGGAGUACAACCAAGGUAGUGGUAAAAUAUGUUAAUCUUGGUUGGACUAACAACAGCGAAGGCACCUUGCGACGGCGGAUCUGACAGUGAGGGAUGAAAGCUAGGGGCGCAAAAUGGAUUAGAUACCCGAGUAGUC
rnacentral:rRNA from 1 species